CUUAAAAUACUUUUAAACACGUGACAUUGGAUGGUAUUACGAUGUACAUGUUGCAUGCUAAACGCACAAUGUUACCUUGAAGCGAAACCCAUUCUUGAAAGUCUUACGGUCACUGGGGAAAAUAGGCAUAAUCCUAACUAUUGUAUCAGUACAGUGUACUUUAUGUCAUACCAGCCAUUUGGAUUUAUUUCGUUCCGUAAUAUAGAUAAAAAAAAAUGUUCGAAAUCACGCAUUUAUGCAGAGAGAAGUGCACAACCAGGCAAACGAUUGUUAAAUUACACAGUUGUGCGCACCAUGUGUCGACGAUGUGUGUACGAUGUGCGCACGCUUUGUUGGUGCGUUCUGCAGUCACACGACUGUAUCGUGUAUCAUGGCAGAUUUCGACGCUAAAAGGAUAUUACAUUACAGUAAGGUAGAGCGUUCGACUUACAGAUGGACAGUGUAGUCAUGUAUAAUUCGAUUUAAAAGAUUUCGUCAUUAU